rnacentral:rRNA from 1 species
UACGUAGGGUGCGAGCGUUAAUCGGAAUUACUGGGCGUAAAGCGUGCGCAGGCGGCUAUGCAAGACAGGUGUGAAAUCCCCGGGCUCAACCUGGGAACUGCACUUGUGACUGCAUGGCUAGAGUGCGUCAGAGGGAGGUGGAAUUCCCGGUGUAGCGGUGAAAUGCGUAGAUAUCGGGAGGAACAUCAGUGGCGAAGGCGGCCUUCUGGUCCAGUACUGACACUCAAGUGCGAAAGCGUGGGGAGCAAACAGG